UAAAACGUAGGACGCAAGCGUUAUCCGGAGUUACUGGGCGUAAAGGGCGGGCAGGCGGUCGAUGCAAGUGGGGUGUGAAAUCUCCCAGCUUAACUGGGAGAGGCCAUUCCAAACUGCUCGACUGGAGGGCAGUAGAGGUAGGCGGAAUUCCGGGUGGAGUGGUGAAAUGCGUAGAGAUCCGGAGGAACACCAGAGGCGAAGGCGGCCUACUGGGCUGCACCUGACGCUGAACCGCGAAAGCUAGGGGAGCGAACGGGAUUAGAAACCCCGGUAGUCCUAGCCGUAAACGAUGUCCACUGAGUGUCGGGGGGUUUCCCCUCGGCGCUGAAGCUAACGCGAUAAGUGGACCGCCUGGGGAGUACGGUCGCAAGGCUA
rnacentral:rRNA from 1 species